GACAGAGGGUGCAAACGUUGUUCGGAAUUACUGGGCGUAAAGCGCGUGUAGGCUGCUCUGCAAGUCGGGUGUGAAAGCCCCGGGCUCAACCUGGGAAGUGCACUCGAAACUGCAGAGCUUGAGUCCUGGAGAGGAAGGCGGAAUUCUCGGUGUAGAGGUGAAAUUCGAUAGAUAUCGAGAGGAACACCGGUGGCGAAGGCGGCCUUCUGGACAGUGACUGACGCUGAGACGCGGAAAGCGUGGGGAGCAAACAGG
rnacentral:rRNA from 1 species